rnacentral:rRNA from 1 species
GACGAACGCUGGCGGCGUGCUUAACACAUGCAAGUCGAACGAUGAACCCGGAGCUUGCUCCGGUGGAUUAGUGGCGAACGGGUGAGUAACACGUGAGUAACCUGCCCUUGACUCUGGGAUAACUGCGGGAAACUGUAGCUAAUACCGGAUACGACCCUCGGCGGCAUCGCCAGGGGGUGGAAAGAAUUUCGGUCAAGGAUGGACUCGCGGCCUAUCAGCUAGUUGGUGAGGUAACGGCUCACCAAGGCGACGACGGGUAGCCGGGCUGAGAGGGUGACCGACCACACUGCGACGGGGACACGGCCCAGACUCCGACGGGGGGCAGCAGUGGGGAAUAUUGCACAAUGGGCGGAAGCCUGAUGCAGCAACGCCGCGUGGGGGAUGACGGCCUUCGGGUUGUAAACCUCUUUUAGCAGGGAAGAAGCGAGAGUGACGGUACCUGCAGAAAAAGCACCGGCUAACUACGUGCCAGCCGCCGCAGUAA